ACGUUAUGCCCUGAUCUAGAGGUG
rnacentral:siRNA from 1 species